rnacentral:rRNA from 1 species
AUACGGAGGGUGCAAGCGUUAUCCGGAAUCAUUGGGUUUAAAGGGUCCGCAGGCGGAUUAAUAAGUCAGUGGUGAAAUCCUCUCGCUCAACGAGAGAACUGCCAUUGAAACUGUUAGUCUUGAAUUCGGUCGAAGUAGGCGGAAUGUGUCAAGUAGCGGUGAAAUGCAUAGAUAUGACACAGAACACCGAUAGCGAAGGCGGCUUACUAGACCUGGAUUGACGCUCAUGGACGAAAGCGUGGGGAGCGAACAGGAUUAGAAACCCCAGUAGUCC